rnacentral:rRNA from 1 species
CUGGGAUUUCGGUCCACUCGCUCCGAUGCCUCACUUUUUGUGUAUCAUCAGGGAGCUGCCACUGCAUAUCUGCUGCUCUACAUCGAUGAUAUCAUCCUCACGGCAUCCACCCCCGAUCUCCUUCAGCGGCUGACUGCUCGUCUUCGUGAUGAGUUCGACCUCAAGGACUUGGGGCCCCUGCACUACUUUCUCGACAUCGAGGUAAUCCGCCGGGCUGACGGUUUCUUUCUGCAUCAGCAGAAGUACGCCCACGAGCUCCUUGAGCGUGCCGGUAUGCUUAACUGCAAGCCGGCGCCCACUCCCGUCGACACGAAGGCGAAGGUCUCUGCUUUGGAGGGGUCUCUCGCGUCCGAUGGAGCAUUUUAUCGCUCUAUUGUCGGUGCUUUACAGUACUUGAUGCUGACUCGCCCCGACCUGCAGUACGCUGUUCAGUAG